rnacentral:rRNA from 1 species
CUUGCAAUAAAGAAGACCUAAAGUGGGAUUAGGUUGGUUGGGGGGUAAGGCCCUCACAAGGGGGUGUUUUUGUAGUGGGUUGGAAGAGGUUGUUCCCCCACACGGGGAAUGAGACCCGGCCCAAGUCUCCUACGGAAGCCACCAGUGGGAAUAUUGGCCAAUGGGGGGGCCCCUGAUCCAAGCCAUGCCGGGGUUGUGAAGAAGGCCUUAUGGUUGUAAAGCACUUUAAGCGAGGAGGAGGCUACUUUAGUUAAUACCUAGAGAUAGUGGACGUUACUCGCAGAAUAAGCACCGGCUAACUCUGUGCCAGCAGCCGCGGUAAUACAGAGGGUGCGAGCGUUAAUCGGAUUUACUGGGCGUAAAGCGUGCGUAGGCGGCUUAUUAAGUCGGAUGUGAAAUCCCCGAGCUUAACUUGGGAAUUGCAUUCGAUACUGGUGAGCUAGAGUAUGGGAGAGGAUGGUAGAAUUCCAGGUGUAGCGGUGAAAUGCGUAGAGAUCUGGAGGAAUACCGAUGGCGAAGGCAGCCAUCUGGCCUAAUACUGACGCUGAGGUACGAAAGCAUGGGGAGCAAACAGGAUUAGAUACCCUGGUAGUCCAUGCCGUAAACGAUGUCUACUAGCCGUUGGGGCCUUUGAGGCUUUAGUGGCGCAGCUAACGCGAUAAGUAGACCGCCUGGGGAGUACGGUCGCAAGACUAAAACUCAAAUGAAUUGACGGGGGCCCGCACAAGCGGUGGAGCAUGUGGUUUAAUUCGAUGCAACGCGAAGAACCUUACCUGGCCUUGACAUACUAGAAACUUUCCAGAGAUGGAUUGGUGCCUUCGGGAAUCUAGAUACAGGUGCUGCAUGGCUGUCGUCAGCUCGUGUCGUGAGAUGUUGGGUUAAGUCCCGCAACGAGCGCAACCCUUUUCCUUACUUGCCAGCAUUUCGGAUGGGAACUUUAAGGAUACUGCCAGUGACAAACUGGAGGAAGGCGGGGACGACGUCAAGUCAUCAUGGCCCUUACGGCCAGGGCUACACACGUGCUACAAUGGUCGGUACAAAGGGUUGCUACACAGCGAUGUGAUGCUAAUCUCAAAAAGCCGAUCGUAGUCCGGAUUGGAGUCUGCAACUCGACUCCAUGAAGUCGGAAUCGCUAGUAAUCGCGGAUCAGAAUGCCGCGGUGAAUACGUUCCCGGGCCUUGUACACACCGCCCGUCACACCAUGGGAGUUUGUUGCACCAGAAGUAGCUUGCCUAACUGCAAAGAGGGCGGUUACCACGGUGUGGCCGAUGACUGGGGGAAGU